AUUGAACGCUGGCGGCAGGCCUAACACAUGCAAGUCGAGCGGAUGAAGGGAGCUUGCUCCUGGAUUCAGCGGCGGACGGGUGAGUAAUGGCUAGGAAUCUGCCUGGUAGUGGGGGAUAACGUCCGGAAACGGGCGCUAAUACCGCAUACGUCCUGAGGGAGAAAGUGGGGGAUCUUCGGACCUCCCGCUUUCAGAUGAGCCUUAGUCGGAGUAGCUAGUUGUUGGGGUAAAGGCCUACCAAGGCGACGAUCCGUAACUGGUCUGAGAGGGUGAUCAGUCACACUGGAACUGAGACACGGUCCAGACUCCUACGGGAGGCAGCAGUGGGGAAUAUUGGACAAUGGGCGAAAGCCUGAUCCAGCCAUGCCGCGUGUGUGAAGAAGGUCUUCGGAUUGUAAAGCACUUUAAGUUGGGAGGAAGGGCAGUAAGUUAAUACAUUGCUGUUUUGACGUUACCAACAGAAUAAGCACCGGCUAACUUCGUG
rnacentral:rRNA from 1 species